rnacentral:rRNA from 1 species
UACGUAGGGUACAAGCAUUAAUCGGAAUUAUUGGGCGUAAAGGGCGCGUAGGCGGAAAUGUAAGUCAGGUGUGAAAUACCAAAGCUCAACUUUGGUGCUGCAUUUGAAACUGCAUUUCUAGAGGACUGACGGAGAAAGUGGAAUUCCACGUGUAGCGGUGAAAUGCGUAGAUACGUGGAGGAACACCGGUGGCGAAAGCGACUUUCUAGUUUUUUCCUGACGCUGAGGCGCGAGAGCAAGGGGAGCAAAC